GCCUUCGUGGUGUAAUGGUCAACACACUGGAUGCGCAUUCGAGAGAUCCGAGAUUCGAGUCCCGCCGAGGGCA
rnacentral:tRNA from 1 species